UGGGGAAUAUUGGACAAUGGGCGCAAGCCUGAUCCAGCCAUGCCGCGUGAGUGAUGAAGGCCCUAGGGUUGUAAAGCUCUUUCACCGGUGACGAUAAUGACGGUAGCCGGAGAAGAAGCCCCCGGCUAACUUCGUGCCAGCAGCCGCGGUAAUACGAAGGGGGCCUAGCGUUGUUCGGAAUUACUGGGCGUAAAGCGCACGUAGGCGGAUAUUUAAGUCAGGGGUGAAAUCCCGGGGCUCAACCCCGGAACGGCCUUUUGAUACUGGAUGUCUUGAGUCCGGAAGAGGUGAGUGGAAUUGCGAGUGUAGAGGUGAAAUUUCGUAGAUAUUCGCAGGAACACCAGUGGCGAAGGCGGCUCACUGGUCCGGAACUGACGCUGAGGUGCGAAAGCGUGGGGAGCAAACAGGAUUANAUACCCUGGUAGUCCACGCCGUAAACGAUGGAAGCUAGCCGUUGGGCGAUUUAUCGCUCGGUGGCGCAGUUAACGCAUUAAGCUUCCCGCCUGGGGAGUACGGUCGCAAGAUUAAAACUUAAAUGAA
rnacentral:rRNA from 1 species